rnacentral:rRNA from 1 species
UGGGGGAUAUUGCACAAUGGGGGAAACCCUGAUGCAGCGACGCCGCGUGGAGGAAGAAGGUUUUCGGAUUGUAAACUCCUGUCGUUAGGGACGAUAAUGACGGUACCUAACAAGAAAGCACCGGCUAACUACGUGCCAGCAGCCGCGGUAAAACGUAGGGUGCAAGCGUUGUCCGGAAUUACUGGGCGUAAAGGGAGCGUAGACGGAACGGCAAGUUUGAAGUGAGAUACCCGGGCUUAACCCGGGAACUGCUUUGAAACUGUCGAUCUAGAGUGUCGGAGAGGUAAGUGGAAUUCCUGGUGUAGUAGUGAAAUGCGUAGAUAUCAGGAAGAACACCGGAGGCGAAGGCGGCUUACUGGGCGAUAACUGACGUUGAGGCUCGAAAGCGUGGGGAGCAAACAGGAUUAGAUACCCUGGUAGU